rnacentral:rRNA from 1 species
GAUUUCCCGUAGGUGAACCUGCGGAAGGAUCAUUG